UGCUAUCAGCAACCAAAGAGUCUUUAAAUAAAAAGAUAACACUACUUAUGAUAUUAGUCAUACACUUGGCAACAUCUUAAUUGAUAUGUUUUUCAAAAGACAUGGAAAUUAAAAACAAAAGUAAAAUUCAUUAAAUAAUAUAAUCAGACAUCCAUUUUGGAGCAACUCUGGAGCUCUUUGAAUUAAGCUCAAUUAAUUCAUCCUCAUUGCUAACUAGUCUAACUGCCUAUCAAUACCUGGCCCAUGAGAACAACCUAGUCCUCAAUGUUGAAGCUGGAACCUGGAAAUCCAUCUAGUGAAUCCGUCUGGUUUUGAUUAUCCACCUUUGACUUUUCAACAAUUGUAUUAAGAUUGCCUUGUUGACGUGGAACCUCAUGAGUGGAAUGAAUGGAUUUUUGUGCAGGGAGAGAAGGAUUCUCCUUAUCCUCCAACGACUUGAAGCCCACAUGAAGAGGAUUUAAGGCUUCCACGUGAUUGGUGCGUAGGGUGGGUGGAGAAGAUUUUUGAGAAAGUGGGGGACAGUUGUGUAGCGAAAAACCAUCCUCAUUGGUCAAUAUUAGAGCCUGGUCAGAGAUAUUUUGCAAAGACUGGCCGUGAAUAUUUUUUUGGGGCAGUGAAACUUCCUUCGAAUAGAGCCCAACAUUAAUUGUGGGUGAAAACAAUUUAAUUGAAUUUAGGGUCCCCAAGUAUGAGUUGGCUGAAUUAUUAUGUGAGUGGGUGGGAACAUUAGUACCUAUAUGGGUACUUUGUAACAAAGUAAGACUAGACUUUGAACUUAAGUCUUUUCUCUUUACUUGCCCAAAAUUCCUUGUGAUAACUUCUUCUUUCUUUUUUUCUUCACUCAUUACACUACAUGGAGUGUGUUUAAGUUGUAAGAGAUGAGCAAUGCUCUAGAUAUAUUUCAAACCCUGCAUGGAUUUGUGAUUUCAGAUCUGAAACCACUAAUUGUAGUUCGUCAUGCUCAACAUUCAUGGUUUUUUGCAUGAGUUCUUACCUUGCAGUAGAAUGGAGUUCCAUGUAGGAAAGUUUCUCCAAAAUAUUGCUCAAGGGAUCCUCUACAGGUUGAGAUGUGAUUUAAGGAGUAAUGAUAAGGAUAAUGAAAGCACCAAAUUGCUAGGGUAUUUAUAUCAAAUAUGAUAAACAAUGCUCUAGAUAUACUUCAUACCCUGCUAUCAGCAGCCAAAGAGUCUUUAAAUAAAAAGAUAACCCUACUUAUGAUAUUAGCCAUAUACUUGGCAACAUCUUAAUUGAUAUUUUUUCCAAAAGACAUGGAAAUUAAAAACAGAAGUAAAAUUCAUUAAGUAGCAUAAUCAGACAUCCAUUUUGAAGCAACUCUGGACCUCUUUGAAUUUAGUACAAUUAAUACAUCCUCAUUGAUAACUUGGUCCAACUGCCUAUCAAUACCUGGCACAUGGAGAACAACCUUGUCCUCAAGGUUGAAGCUAGAACCUGGAAACCCAUAUAGUGAAUCUGUGUAGCUUUGAUUAUCCACCUUUUCAACAAUUGUAUUAAGAUUGCCUUGUUGAC
rnacentral:lncRNA from 1 species